rnacentral:rRNA from 1 species
CCAGCAGCUGCGGUAAUGCCAGCUCCAAUAGCGUAUAUUAAAGUUGUUGCGGUUAAAAAGCUCGUAGUUGAAUCUCUGAUCGGGAUGACCUCCUCACCUUAGGGCGAUGGUAGCUGUUGACCUGAUCAUCCUCCUAGAACACGAUCUCUCUUAACCGGGUCAUUCGUGCUAGGACUAUUACUUUGAGGAAAUUAGAGUGUUUAAAACAGGCGUUCGCCGUGAAUACAUUAGCAUGGAAUAAUAAGAUAGGACUUCGGUACUAUUUUGUUGGUUUCUAGAACUGAAGUAAUGAUUAAUAGGGACAGUCGGGGGCAUUCGUACUUAACUGUCAGAGGUGAAAUUCUUGGAUUUGUUAAAGACGAACUACUGCGAAAGCAUUUGCCAAGGAUGUUUUCAUUGAUCAAGAACGAAAGU